AGGUGAUAUAAGCAACAAGGACCUCUGAGGAGACCAACACCAGUCAAGCUGCCUAGAAGAGAUACUUUGCAACCUGUCCAGUUGUCUGUAAGAUGGCAACUUCAGGGCUCUAGCUAUCAUGAGCCUGUGCCCAUGCUGGGAUGGCAGCUCCCAUAUGCCAGCAUCCAUGCUGGGAUGGGCUUUUGGUGAUGCAACUGUCUUUGAACUUGGUUCUGCUGUGAGUGACCCCUCAUACUCCUGUAAGUAACCUCAAUAAACUCAUUAGUUUGUC
rnacentral:lncRNA from 1 species